GAUGAACGCUGGCGGCGUGCCUAAUACAUGCAAGUCGAGCGAACAGACGAGGAGCUUGCUUUUCUGACGUUAGCGGCAGACGGGUGAGUAACACGUGGAUAACCUACCUAUAAGACUGGGAUAACUUCGGGAACCCGGAGCUAAUACCGGAUAAUAUUUUGAACCGCAUGGUUCAUAAGUGAAAGACGGUCUUGCUGUCACUUCUAGAUGGAUCCGCGCUGCAUUAGCUAGUUGGUAAGGUAACGGCUUACCAAGGCAACGAUGCAUAGCCGACCUGAGAGGGUGAUCGGCCACACUGGAACUGAGACACGGUCCAGACUCCUAAGGGAGGCAGCAGUAGGGAAUCUUCCGCAAAGGGCGAAAGCCUGACGGAGCAACGCCGCGUGAGUGAUGAAGGUCUUCGGAUCGUAAAACUCUGUUAUUAGGGAAGAACAAAUGUGUAAGUAACUGUGCACAUCUUGACGGUACCUAAUCAGAAAGCCACGGCUAACUACGUG
rnacentral:rRNA from 1 species